rnacentral:rRNA from 1 species
UACAGAGGUCUCAAGCGUUGUUCGGAUUCAUUGGGCGUAAAGGGUGCGUAGGCGGCGCGGUAAGUCGGGUGUGAAAGUCAAAGGCUCAACCUUUGAAAGCCGGUGGAUACUGUGGGACUAGAGUACGGAAGAGGCGAGUGGAAUUCCUGGUGUAGCGGUGGAAUGCGCAGAUAUCAGGAGGAACACCAAUAGCGAAGGCAGCUCGCUGGGACGUUACUGACACUGAGGCGCGAAAGCGUGGGGAGCGAACAGG